CCUACGGGAGGCAGCAGUGAGGAAUAUUGGUCAAUGGGCGAGAGCCUGAACCAGCCAAGUCGCGUGAGGGAAGACGGUCCUACGGAAUGUAAACCUCUUUUGUCAGGGAGCACGGAGCGCCACGAGUGGUGCGGCGAGAGUAACUGCAGAAAAAGCAUCGGCUAACACCGUGCAGGCAGCCGCGGGAAUACGGAGGACGCGAGCUUUAUCCGGAUUUAUUGGUGUUAAAGGGUUCGCAGGCGGAAGCGGCAAGUCAGCGGUAAAAUUGCGGGGCUCAACCUCGCCGAGCCGUUGAAACUGCUCUUCUAGAGUGGGCGAGAAGUAUGCGGAAUGCGUGGUGUAGCGGUGAAAUGCAUAGAUAUCACGCAGAACUCCGAUUGCGAAGGCAGCAUACCGGCGCCCAACUGACGCUCAUGCACGAAAGCGUGGGUAUCGAACAGGAUUAGAUACCCUGGUAGUC
rnacentral:rRNA from 1 species